rnacentral:sRNA from 1 species
GCCAGGCGUGGUGGCACACACCUGUAUUCUUAGCAACUCAGGAGGCUGAGGCAGGAGGAUUGCAAGUUCAAAGCCAGCCUGAACAAUUUAGCAAGACCAUGUCUCAA